UGGGGAAUAUUGCACAAUGGGCGAAAGCCUGAUGCAGCAACGCCGCGUGAGUGAUGAAGGUCUUCGGAUUGUAAAGCUCUGUCUUUUGGGACGAUAAUGACGGUACCAAAGGAGGAAGCCACGGCUAACUACGUGCCAGCAGCCGCGGUAAUACGUAGGUGGCGAGCGUUGUCCGGAUUUACUGGGCGUAAAGGGUGCGUAGGCGGAUGUUUAAGUGAGAUGUGAAAUACCCGGGCUUAACUUGGGUGCUGCAUUUCAAACUGGAUAUCUAGAGUGCAGGAGAGGAGAAUGGAAUUCCUAGUGUAGCGGCGAAAUGCGUAGAGAUUAGGAAGAACACCAGUGGCGAAGGCGAUUCUCUGGACUGUAACUGACGCUGAGGCACGAAAGCGUGGGUAGCAAACAGGAUUAGAUACCCUGGUAGUCCACGCCGUAAACGAUGAGUACUAGGUGUAGGAGGUAUCGACCCUUUCUGUGCCGCAGUAAAC
rnacentral:rRNA from 1 species